UACGUAGGGGGCGAGCGUUGUCCGGAAUUAUUGGGCGUAAAGCGCGUGCAGGCGGUUUUUUAAGUCCGUGGUGAAAGACCGGGGCUCAACCCCGGAGUGUCCAUGGAGACUGGAAGACUGGAGUGUCGGAGAGGAGUGCGGAAUACCUGGUGUAGCGGUGGAAUGCGUAGAGAUCAGGUGGAACACCGAUGGCGAAGGCAGCACUCUGGCCGAAUACUGACGCUGGAGACGCGAAAGCGUGGGGAGCGAACGGG
rnacentral:rRNA from 1 species